GACGGAGGAUGCAAGCGUUAUCCGGCAUUAUUGGGCGUAAAGCGUCCGCAGGUGGCUGUUCAAGUCUGCUGUCAAAGCGCAGAGCUUAACUCUGUACAGGCGGUGGAAACUGAAGAGCUAGAGUAUGGUAGGGGUAGAGGGAAUUCCCGGUGUAGCGGUGAAAUGCGUAGAUAUCGGGAAGAACACCAGUGGCGAAAGCGCUCUACUGGGCCAUAACUGACACUGAGGGACGAAAGCUAGGGGAGCGAAAGGG
rnacentral:rRNA from 1 species